CCAAAAAAGACAAUUUUGUUUUGAAAAAAUGACAAAAUUACUGAAAAAAGACACAAAAUUACCAAAUAAAGACACAAAAUUAUUUAAAAAAAGACACAAAUUACAAAAAAAAGACACAAAAUGACAAAAAAAGACACUAAAUUACUGAAAAAACACUAAAUUACUGAAAGAACACUAAAUUACUUAAAGACUAAAAAGACACAAAAUGACACCCUUUCAAGGUGAGGAGGAGGUGGAAAUGGACAUCGUCUUAAAGACCGUAAAACAAAUCACUCCAGCAAUGAAUAAUGUCUGAUGAAUAGAGAGGAGCGACUAUAAUCAGUUCAGGAAGUAAGUUGGAAUGGCAACAGAUGCCUAAAGCUCGAUAAAAAUGCAGAUUGAGACAUUUCUGGAGGAUUUAAAGUUCGACAAAAAUACCCUUCGGAUUCAUUCUGUAUUUCCUAACGACCAUCUUUAUUAAGUAAAUAAACAUACAGCAAAAAUAUAUAAUAACCAUGCAUCAGACGGACAACAUGUAGACGGCCUGUUGUUCCUGGAACAGAAGUGGAGGUAGAACAGGACAGAACCUCUUCAUUCAGGGUCAAAACAUUCAAGAAACACAUCAACAGCAACUCAAACUGGAUCAAAAAGCGUCAGAGUCCAAAGAACCAGCUCAAACUGGAUCAAAAAGAUCAGAGUCCAAAGAACCAGCUCAAACUGGAUCAAAAAGAGUCAGAGUCCAAAGAACCAGCUCAAACUGGAUCAAAAAGAGUCAAAGUCCAAAGAACCAGCUCAAACUGGAUCAAAAAGA